GAACCAGUACCGUGAGGGAAAGGUGAAAAGUACCCCGGGAGGGGAGUGAAAGAGUUCCUGAAACCGGUCGCAUGCAAGCCGUCAGAGCCUGUGUGGUGAUGGCGUGCCUUUUGAAGAAUGAGCCUGCGAGUUAGCGGCAUGUUGCGAGGUUAACCUGUGUUGUGGGGUAGCCGUAGCGAAAGCGAGUCUUUGUGGGCGUUGUAGUAGCGUGUCCUAGACCCGAAGCGGGGUGAUCUACCCAUGGCCAGUGUGAAGCAGCUGUAAGAGGUUGUGGAGGCGCGAACCCACGUAGGUUAAAAACUGCGGGGAUGAGCUGUG
rnacentral:rRNA from 1 species